ACGGCGAGUGAGCGGCAACAGCUCAAAUUUGAAAUCUGGCGUCUUUGGCGUCCGAGUUGUAAUUUGCAGAGGGCGCUUUGGCAUUGGCAGCGGUCCAAGUUCCUUGGAACAGGACGUCACAGAGGGUGAGAAUCCCGUACGUGGUCGCUAGCCUUUACCGUGUAAAGCCCCUUCGACGAGUCGAGUUGUUUGGGAAUGCAGCUCUAAAUGGGAGGUAAAUUUCUUCUAAAGCUAAAUACUGGCCAGAGACCGAUAGCGCACAAGUAGAGUGAUCGAAAGAUGAAAAGCACUUUGGAAAGAGAGUUAAAAAGCACGUGAAAUUGUUGAAAGGGAAGCGCUUGCAGCCAGACUUGCCUGUAGUUGCUCAUCCGGGUUUUUACCCGGUGCACUCUUCUAUAGGCAGGCCAGCAUCAGUUUGGGCGGUUGGAUAAAGGUCUCUGUCAUGUACCUCUCUUCGGGGAGAACUUAUAGGGGAGACGACAUGCAACCAGCCUGGACUGAGGUCCGCGCAUCUGCUAGGAUGCUGGCGUAAUGNCUGUAAGCGGCCCGUCUU
rnacentral:rRNA from 1 species